rnacentral:rRNA from 1 species
AUGUCUAAGCGUCAGCACUCGCACCUUGACGUCGACCGCACCGGGAAACGGCCGCGUCGUGCGCCGAAGAAGCACCUCUACCUGGUGCUGGAUGAUUGGGACACGGGCUGCAGCAUCUACAAGGUUGAUGCCGACACUUUGCAAGAUACCUGCACCAGCGACAUGCAGUUUGGGUUCCCUGACCCUCCCGUCCUCCGGUUUCCCGUGCCAGUACGCCAUCUUGGCAUGAGCUUCACGGCCUUUGGUAACAUCAUCUUCAUCGCCACCAACCCACACUGUCCACAGACUCCCAUCCUCGUAUAUGACACCGAGAUAGCGGGAAUCACAAUCGGGCCAAGCCUACCACGUUCACUGCUUGGUGGCAUUGACAUCUCUGUGGCCGCCGGUGAUACGUUGUGUGCAUUGACAUCUCGCCAUGACGGCGAGCAGCACUCUUUUGAGGCCAUGUCAUGGGCAGCCACGGGAAGCGAUGAGAUGUGCGAUCCACGGCCAGCCAUGGAUUGGUCCUGGAAAAGGGUGCCAUCGCCACCGCCAUUUGCCAUGGAUGAUAUAAUUUCGUCUUACGCGCUGCACCCGGACGGGCACACCAUAUUCAUGUCUGCACACGACAGUCUUUAUCAACAUGUUCCAAAGGGUACCUUCUCAUUCAACACCAAGCGUUUUGAGUGGAGGUGGCAUGGGGAAUGGGCUCUGCCUUUCCAAGGGCAAGGCUACUACGACAGCGAGCUAGGCGCAUGGAUUGGGCUCCGUAAAGACGGGUACAUUUGUGCCUGUGAAGUCGCCUCCCGCAGCCGCGAAAGUGAUGUGCAGCCAUAUUGUAAGAUUGCGAAGGAGAAGUUGUUCCUCAAAGUCCCGGAGCGGCGGCUGGCAGCAACAAGGGGCCACUCUCGCGUACAUGGGCAACAGCAACUUUUGCCUUGUCGAUUGUGUGCAGCGCGAGGGAGUGGAGCCUACAUGCAUCGUCGAUUGUUGCGUACUCCAUAUGAGCACGUUUGGGCUUAA